rnacentral:rRNA from 1 species
CCUACGGGUGGCUGCAGUGAGGAAUAUUGGUCAAUGGGCGCGAGCCUGAACCAGCCAAGUCGCGUGAGGGAUGACGGUCCUACGGAUUGUAAACCUCUUUUGCCGGGGAGCAAGCGUGCGUUCGUGAACGCGCGUCGAGAGUACCCGGAGAAAAAGCAUCGGCUAACUCCGUGCCAGCAGCCGCGGUAAUACGGAGGAUGCGAGCGUUAUCCGGAUUUAUUGGGUUUAAAGGGUGCGUAGGCGGGAUGCCAAGUCAGCGGUAAAAAUGCGGUGCUCAACGCCGGCGAGCCGUUGAAACUGGCAAACUGGAGUGUGUGAGAGGAUAGUGGAAUUCCAGGUGUAGGAGUGAAAUCCGUAGAUAUCUGGAGGAACAUCAGUGGCGAAGGCGACUAUCUGGCACAUAACUGACGCUGAGGAGCGAAAGCGUGGGUAGCAAACAGGAUUAGAUACCCCAGUAGUC